UACAGAGGUCUCAAGCGUUGUUCGGAUUCAUUGGGCGUAAAGGGUGCGUAGGUGGCGAUGUAAGUUUGGUGUGAAAUUUCGGGGCUUAACCUCGAAACUGCAUUGAAUACUGCAUUGCUUGAGGAUUGUAGAGGAGAGUGGAAUUCACGGUGUAGCAGUGAAAUGCGUAGAUAUCGUGAGGAAGACCAGUUGCGAAGGCGACUCUCUGGGCAAUUCCUGACACUGAGGCACGAAGGCCAGGGGAGCAAACGGG
rnacentral:rRNA from 1 species